rnacentral:piRNA from 1 species
UGUUAGUGAUGAUGUAUAAAGCU